UCAAGAACAGGACGCAUACAGCCCAGGGCUGGCUAGGACCAGAUGGUGAGAAUGGGGACGGAUAAUGGGACCCUGAGUCAGUGCUCUGAGCAGGCUGAGUGGCCAGAGACACGGAGAAGACGGGCUUCACAGACUGCUAGGGAGGCCCACAGGAAGUCACCCUGUGACAGCAGCUUCUGUCUUCCAGGAUCCCAUCGGGAGUGUUGGAAAGUCCAGCGUCAGAAGCCAUUCCCGAGGGCCAGAACCACUCGACAAGCUCUGAGCAGGACCCUGUAUUGGACAAAGAGGGCAGCCCGGGCACAGGCAGCAGCCCCUUCCAGCUCACGGCCUCCUCUGAGGAAGACAUCAUUGAUUUGAAAUAGAGUCUGUGUCCCGUGGUCCUCCUUAGUUUUCUUAUGCAGAUUUGUACUGUUCAAACAGCGCCCACGUUCAGUUCCAACAAAGCGCGCCUUCAGCCAGGCAGCGAUCUACCGGACCAAACCUGCACCCUCAGCCAGUUUGGGUCACUCUCCAGUGUCCAGUGCCAUCUUUCUUGACCCUGUUUCUUUCCACUCAAGACCCGUCAGUCCCCUUGUAAUAAAGGUGGUAGAUUUCAUUAAGGUUUUAGAUCAAAACUUUGAAUAAAUCAAAAACAUUCAUUCUU
rnacentral:lncRNA from 1 species